rnacentral:lncRNA from 10 species
UUUUUUUUUUUUUUUUUUUUUUUUUUUUUUGAGAGGGAGACUUGCUCUGUCAUCCAGGCUGGAGUGCAGUGGUGCGAUCUCGGCUCACUGCAAACUUCACCUCCCGGGUUCAAGGGAUUCUCUUGCCUUAGCCUCCAGAGUAGCUGGGAUUACAGGCGCCCGUCACCAUGCCUGGUUAAUUUUUGUAUUUUUAUAGAGAUGGGGUUUCACCACGUUAGCCAGGAUGGUCUCGAUCUCCUGACCUCGUGAUCCGCCCGCCUCAGCCUCCCAAAGUGCUGGGAUUACAGGCGUGAGCCACUGCGCCCGGCUGCCUUCAGCCUUUUUAUGGCAAGGCUCUGGAGGCCACCCUGCUUCCAAAGGCUAGGUCUGCCUUCUAACUCUAGCCAGGCUG